CCUACGGUGGGCAGCAGUGAGGAAUAUUGGACAAUGGACGAGAGUCUGAACCAGCCAAGUAGCGUGAAGGAUGACUGCCCUAUGGGUGGUAAACAUCUUUUAUAAAGGAAUAAAACGAGAGACGUGUGCCUUUUUGAAUGGACUUUAUGAAUAAGGAUCGGCUAACUCCGUGCCAGCCGCCGAGGUAAGACGGAGGAUACGAGCGUUAUCCGGAUUGAUUGGGUUUAAAGGGAGCGUAGGUGGGUUGUUAAGUCAGAUGUGAAAGCUUGUGGCUUAACCCUAGAAUUGCAAUUGAUACUGGUCGUCUUGAGUCUAGUAGAGGGAGGCAGAAUUCGUGGUGUAGCGGUGAAAUGCGUAGAUAUGUGGAGGAACCCCGAUUGCGAAGGCAGCUUACUAGACUGUGACUGACAUUGAUGUGCGAAAGUGUGGGUAUCAAACAGGAUUAGAUACCCGUGUAGUC
rnacentral:rRNA from 1 species